GCUCCCCCGUUCCCCAUAGGUUCAGUGGUGGAGCAUUGGCUUUGCAUGCAGAAGGUCCCAGGUUCAAUCCCUGGAGGCAGCA